rnacentral:rRNA from 1 species
UACGGAGGGGGCGAGCGUUAUUCGGAAUUAUUGGGCGUAAAGGGCGCGUAGGCGGCUUGAUAAGUCAAAGGUGAAAUCCCUCGGCUCAACUGAGGAAUUGCCUUUGAAACUGUCUGGCUCGAGGCCGGGAGGGGGUAGCGGAAUUCCUAGUGUAGCGGUGAAAUGCGUAGAUAUUGGGAGGAACACCGGUGGCGAAGGCGGCUACCUGGACCGGUUCUGACGCUGAUGCGCGAAAGCGUGGGGAGCAAACAGG